AUGGGAGUGGUAAUUGGGGUCCUGAUCUCACGGUUGACGUGGCCCUCACGUGAGCUGGAGCCGACGCGUGCAGACGUCCUUCUAAUCUUAGUCUUCGUUUGGUCCGGUUGCACUCUCUCUAUCGCCCAGAGGGCGAGAGGGCCUGUGGCCUGGGGGAAGGAGGACGAGGUUACUGCCUGGAUCCCAGCAGUAGGGCGCUGUGCCAUUUGGGAACAAAGGAAUAGUCUGCCUGGAAUCCCUGCAGGAAAAAAGGAUGUAACAGUGCCUGCAGGAAAAGUGCUUGUCAUUGCGGGUAGGGUGCGUUGGGGAGAGGGAUAGAAGAGAUCGGUUGGUUUUGUUUUUCUCCUCGGAUUUUCCAUAUCCCCCCCCCCU
rnacentral:lncRNA from 1 species